rnacentral:rRNA from 1 species
CCUACGGGAGGCAGCAGUGAGGAAUAUUGGUCAAUGGACGAGAGUCUGAACCAGCCACGUAGCGUGAAGGAUGACUGCCCUAUGGUUUGUAAACUUCUUUUAUAAAGGAAUAAAACGAGGCACGUGUGCCUUUUUGCCUGUGCUUUAUGAUUAACAAUCGGCUAACUCCGUGCCAGCAGCCGCGGUAAUACGGAUGAUCCGAGCGUUAUCCGGAUUUAUUGGGUUUAAAGGGAGCGUAGAGGGGUUGUUAAGUAAGGUGUGAAAGUUUGCGGCUCAAACGGAAAAUUGCAAUUGAUACUGGCAGUCUUGAGUACAGGUGAGGUAGGUGGAAUUCGAGGUGUAGCGGUGAAAUGCUUAGAUAUCACGAAGAACCCCGAUUGCGAAGGCAGCUUACUAAACUGUGACUGACAUUGAUGCUCGAAAGUGUGGGUAUCAAACAGGAUUAGAUACCCCUGUAGUC